UUACAAAACGGAAAAAAAAAAUGCCACGUCGGACGCGCACUCUAUCACUAAUUCCGCGGGUCGCGGCGGGUCUUCCGAAGGAAAUCUCGGUGAAGCGCGUGGAAUCCACGAACCAAUGGCUUCGGUUGUCGUGGUUGAAUAUUCCAAUUCCAUGCAACGUUGGUAUUUUUAGAGUUUAAACAAAGAAAAAUGUUUGGUCAUUUUUUUCUGCGGAAACUGCCGACUGAAAAUUUAACCUUUUCUGGAAACGUAAUCAAAGGGAUUUUCUUCCUCUUA